rnacentral:misc_RNA from 1 species
GCUUGUUUUGCGAUCUUAACUGCCUGUUUAGAUAAGAUCUCCUUGGUCUGAUUCGCUUGUUUUGAUAACAUUUCCUUGGUUUGAGCCACUUUCUUAGAUCGAUCCUUGAGCCUCUGCUUCACUUUCUGAAAUGAAUCUCCAUUGGAAACUACAUCCUCAACAGGGUCUUCAUUGCUAGACAUCUUCUUCUUAUUCGUUUUCUUCGUCUUCUUCUUCUUCUUCUCCCUUGCUAUUGAGAGAGACACGCGGG